rnacentral:rRNA from 1 species
UUCUAACAGCAUAAGAGAGGUAGUGACAAGAAAUAACAGUACAAGGCAGUUAAAAUGCUUUGUAAUUGGAAUGAUAGAAAUUUAAAUACUUUUUAAAGUAUCAAUUGGAGGGCAAGUCUGGUGCCAGCAGCCGCGGUAAUUCCAGCUCCAAUAGCGUAUAUUAAAAUUGUUGCAGUUAAAAAGCUCGUAGUUGAAUUUUUGCUAGAAAUAACCGGUCUGCUUUUAUUUAUAAGAGUGGUAUCUUGGUGUGCUUUUAGCAAUAAUAUCCUUUGGAAUGUUUUUUACUUUAUUGUAAAAAGCAAUUUUGAGGAUUUUUACUUUGAGAAAAUUAGAGUGUUUCAAGCAGGCUAACGUUUUGAAUACUGCAGCAUGGAAUAAUAA